GACGAACGCUGGCGGCGUGCUUAACACAUGCAAGUCGAACGGAAAGGCCCUGCUUUUGUGGGGUGCUCGAGUGGCGAACGGGUGAGUAACACGUGAGUAACCUGCCCUUGACUUUGGGAUAACCUCAGGAAACUGGGGCUAAUACCGUAUAGGAGCUCCUGCUGCAUGGUGGGGGUUGGAAAGUUUCGGCGGUUGGGGAUGGACUCGCGGCUUAUCAGCUUGUUGGUUGGGUAGUGGCUUACCAAGCCUUUGACGGGUAGCCGGCCUGAGAGGGUGACCGGCGACAAUGGGCCUGAGAUACGGCCCAGUCUCCAACGGGAGGCAGCAGUGGGGAAUAUUGCACAGUGGGAGGAAGCCUGAUGCAGAGGCGCCGCGUGCGGGAUGACGGCCUUCGGGUUGUAAACCGCUGUAGCCUGUGACGAAGCGUGAGUGACGGUAAUGGGUAAAGAAGCACCGGCUAACUACGUG
rnacentral:rRNA from 1 species